rnacentral:rRNA from 1 species
UACGUAGGGUGCAAGCGUUGUCCGGAAUUAUUGGGCGUAAAGAGCUCGUAGGCGGUUUGUCGCGUCUGCUGUGAAAACUCGGGGCUUAACCCCGGGCCUGCAGUGGGUACGGGCAGACUAGAGUGCGGUAGGGGAGACUGGAAUUCCUGGUGUAGCGGUGAAAUGCGCAGAUAUCAGGAGGAACACCGGUGGCGAAGGCGCCACUCUGG